rnacentral:rRNA from 1 species
UACAGAGGGUGCGAGCGUUAAUCGGAAUAACUGGGCGUAAAGGGUGCGUAGGCGGACAGCUAAGUCAGAUGUGAAAGACCUGGGCUCAACCUGGGAAUGGCAUUUGAAACUGGCAGUCUAGAGUGAAGAAGAGGAGAGUGGAAUUUCAGGUGUAGCGGUGAAAUGCGUAGAUAUCUGAAGGAACACCAGUGGCGAAGGCGACUCUCUGGUCUUUUACUGACGCUGAGGCACGAAAGCGUGGGGAGCAAAC